rnacentral:lncRNA from 1 species
CCGCUCCCUCCCCGCUGGCGGGCGGGGCCGCGCUCCUCCCCGGCUCCGCCCUCGCUCCGCCUCCCGCCUCGGCCGCCCCGCCCCUCCGCCCUCCGCGGCCGAGCGGCCUAGCUGGUCCGGCGCGCGGGUCUCCCCGCGAGGCCCGACCUUUGUUCCCGACCUGCCCGGCCGCGCCGUCCCGGGUGCGUCCCGCGUGCCUGCCCCGCCUCUCUCCUCACAUUUUCCGGUCGCCGUGGCCCCUUUUCGGAGUCGGGAGUGCGGAGGCGGUUUCCUCGCGUGUCUGUGGCUGGGGGCCGCCCCUCGCGCCCCCCGGGUUCGGCGCGCACCUACUCUGCGGCUCGGCCGCCGCGCCUGAGUUCGGCGAAAGCCUUUCCAGGGCAAGUCUGUCCGUGACCCUCUCGGAGAGUCGCAGUUUCUAAAUCUCUCGAAGUAACGCGGCUUUAGCCAGGAGGUCCCAAGCGUUAGGAUUAAAAAUAAAGAUAAAAGGGGAAUGGGGGGCUGGGGGAGGUGGACCUUGUGUUUGCACCUAGGUGAAACCUUCCUCUGCAGGCGGCGGUGUUUGCUUAGGGUCUCCCGCACCACCUGGAUUGCCCGGAGAGCGAUGUAUGAGCUUGCAAAUUUACACACAGACACACACACACAGUAGUGGGGAUCGAACUUGGGUCCUUGUGCUUGAGCAGCAGCAGCAGCACCAGAAAAAAGAAGAAGAAGAGGAGGAGGAGGAGGAGGAGCAAGAAGAAGAAGGAGGAGAAGAAGAAGAAGAGGAAGAAGAAAGAAGAGGAGGAGGAAGCAGAAGAAGCAACUUUUCAAUUGUGGGCAGAAAUCCCAAGACCAAACUGGUUGUUUCUUCUAGAAAGAUGACUCUUUAAGUUAUUAUCAUUCUCCUUCCAGGGUGCUGUUCAGGGACAGGCCUGGCAAAAUAAAACUGCUACUGGAGAGAUUGUGCCUCUGUUUACUAGGGGUCAUUUUGGUUUGGUGGGGGUUUUUUGGCACUGGAGAUGGGACUUGGGACCCUGUGCUCGCGAGGCAGGCAGCGGAACCACUGAGCUAAAUCCCUGGCCCUGGUUGUUUUGUUUUUGAAACAGAGUCUGGCUGAGUUAUCCAGGCUAGCUUGGAGCUCUCUACACUC